rnacentral:rRNA from 1 species
AGAAUCAACGCUGGCGGCGUGCCUAACACAUGCAAGUCGAACGCGAAAACCCCGAAAGGGGUGAGUAGAGUGGCAAACGGGUGAGUAACGCGUGGGUGACCUGCCUUCGAGCGGGGGAUAACGUUCCGAAAGGGACGCUAAUACCGCAUAACAUCCUGCCUUUGAAGAGGUGGCGAUCAAAGCUGGGGACCGCAAGGCCCGGCACUUGAAGAGGGGCUCGCGUCUGAUUAGCUAGUUGGUGAGGUAACGGCUCACCAAGGCAACGAUCA